rnacentral:rRNA from 1 species
GAUAAACGCUUGCGGCGUGCCUUAUGCAUGCAAGUCGAACGGUCUCGAUUUAUCGGGAUAGUGGCGAAUGGGUGAGUAACGCGUAAGUAACCUGCCCCCAAGUAGAGAAUAACUCCGAGAAAUUGGAGCUAAUACUUUAGCGGUGGUCGAGGUAAGGCUCGAUCACCAAAGCCUUAGGGCGCUCGGGGAGGGCUUGCGUCUGAUUAGCUAGUUGGUAGGGUAACGGCUUACCAAGGCGACGAUCGGUAGCUGGUUUAAGAGGACGUCCAGCCACACUGGGACUGAGACACGGCCCAGACUCCUACGGGAGGCAGCAGCAAGGAAUAUUGUGCAAUGGGCGAAAGCCUGACACAGCGACACCGCGUGGGGGAUGAAGGCCUUCGGGUCGUAAACCCCUUUUCCCAGGGAAGAAUAAUGACGGUACCUGGGGAAUAAGUCUUGGCUAACUACGUGCCAGCAGCCGCGGUAAUACGUAGAAGGCAAGCGUUAUCCGGAUUUAUUGGGCGUAAAGAGGGUGUAGGCGGUUCUUCAAGUCGGAUGUAAAAUCUCCCGGCUCAACUGGGAGGGAUCAUUCGAUACUGUUGGGCUAGAGUGCAGCAGGGGGAGAUGGAAUUCCCGGUGUAGUGGUGAUAUGCGUAGAUAUCGGGAGGAACACCUGUGGCGAAGGCGGUCUUCUGGGCUGUUACUGACGCUGAGACCCGAAGGCGUGGGGAGCGAACAGGAUUAGAUACCCUGGUAGUCCACGCAGUAAACGAUGGACACUAGGUAUAGGGAGUAUCGACCCUCUCUGUGCCGAAGUUAACGCAUUAAGUGUCCCGCCUGGGGAGACGGUCGCAAGACU